GUGGGUAUAGCUCAGUGGUAGAGUGUGUGCUUAGCAUGCAUGAGGUCCUGGGUUCAAUCCCCAGUACCUCCA
rnacentral:tRNA from 1 species